AUUGAACGCUGGCGGCAUGCCUUACACAUGCAAGUCGAACGGCAGCACGGGAGCAAUCCUGGUGGCGAGUGGCGAACGGGUGAGUAAUACAUCGGAACGUGCCCAGUAGUGGGGGAUAACCCGGCGAAAGCCGGACUAAUACCGCAUACGACCUACGGGUGAAAGCAGGGGAUCGCAAGACCUUGCGCUAUCGGAGCGGCCGAUGUCAGAUUAGCUAGUUGGUGGGGAAAAGCCUACCAAGGCGACGAUCUGUAGCUGGUCUGAGAGGACGACCAGCCACACUGGGACUGAGACACGGCCAGACUCCUACGGGAGGCAGCAGUGGGGAAUUUUGGACAAUGGGCGCAAGCCUGAUCCAGCCAUGCCGCGUGCGGGAAGAAGG
rnacentral:rRNA from 1 species